CCGACUCAGAGAGAGAUUUCUACACUCACUUAUAGAUAAAAUAAAUUAUAUUAUGAAUAUUUAAUUUAUACAGUAUUCUUCUAAUAUUUAUUAUUGAUAGGGUAUAUUCGACAUCAUUGAUUUUAAGGAGGAUCGUGUGAGGUGAGCCGUGGACACUCAUUUAUCAUUGCGUUUUAAAGAUAAUCACCAUCAUAUACAUCAACAUUGGUACUAUAUGAUGCA
rnacentral:lncRNA from 1 species